GUGCUCACUUCGGCAGCACAUAUACUAAAAUCGGAACGAUCCUGAGAUUAGCCUGGGCCCCAGCACAGGGAUGACACAUAUUUAAAAAGAAAGGGAGCUCAGUGUC